GACGAACGCUGGCGGCAUGCCUAACACAUGCAAGUCGAACGGAACCUUCGGGUCUUUUGGCGCAGGUCGACUUGCCACCUGGUAACCUGCCCGUAGGUUAGGUAUACCUCCCCUAAAGGUGUGCUAAUGACGCUUAAGCUAAUCGGACCAAAGAUUUAUCGCCUUUGGAUGGGGGCGGGUUAGUUUAGGCGGUUGGUAGUGGACAAGCGUACCAAGGGGACGAUGCAUAGCUGGUCGGGGAGGAUGACCAGCUACACUAGGACUGAGACACGGCCCACCCUCCUACGGAAGGCAGCAGUGGGGAAUAUUGUACGAGGGGCGAAAGCCUGAUCCAGCAGUGCCGCGUGUGUGAUGAAGGCCGUAGGGUUGUAAAGCCCUUUUACACGGGAUGAGAAUGACAGUACCGGGAGAAGAAGCUCCGGCUAACUACGUG
rnacentral:rRNA from 1 species